rnacentral:lncRNA from 1 species
GAAAGAAAUUGCUUGAUUGAUAGUGGCAGGCUCUUGGCUGAGUUUGAUAGAUUUUGACUUUUUCUUCCUCUCAAUUCUGGCAGCUUGAGUCUUCCUCUUCUACGGAAGAGACACCCCUUUGGGAGGAAACAUAUAGCCAGUCGGCAUAUGGGUGUUUCUUUAAUAUGAAGAGAGCUCGAAAAAGUAGAAUUGGAGGUCGGACUCCCAUCU